GACGAACGCUGGCGGCGCGCUUAACACAUGCAAGUCGAGCGAAGCGGCGGACGGGUGAGUAAUACGUGAGUAACCUGCCUUAGACAUUGGGAUAGCCUCGGGAAACCGGGAUUAAUACCAAAUGGUCUAAGAUGGACUCGCGUCCCAUUAGCUAGUGGGUGAGGUAACGGCCUACCAAGGCGACGACGGGUAGCCGGCCUGAGAGGGCGACCGGCCACAUUGGGACUGAGAUACGGCCCAAACUCUACGGGAGGCAGCAGUGGGGAAUAUUGCACGAUGGGGGAAACCCUGAUGGAGCAACGCCGGGUGGGGGAUGACGGCCGUCGGGUGGUAAACCGCUUUCAGCCAUGACGCGGUAGUGGCAGAAGAAGCACCGGCGAACUACGUGCCAGCGCCGCGGUAAUUC
rnacentral:rRNA from 1 species